rnacentral:tRNA from 1 species
GGGCCCGUAGCUUAGUCAGGAAGAGCACCGGGCUUUUAUUCCUGGGGUAGGGUCGCGGGUUCAAUUCCCGUCGGGCCCGCCA